UACGGGGGGUGCGAGCGUUGUCCGGAAUCACUGGGCGUAAAGGGCGCGCAGGCGGUCGAUCAAGUCGAGUGUGAAAGCCCCCGGCUCAACUGGGGAGGGUCAUUCGAUACUGAUCGACUCGAAGGCAGGAGAGGGUAGUGGAAUUCCCGGUGUAGUGGUGAAAUGCGUAGAUAUCGGGAGGAACACCAGUGGCGAAGGCGACUACCUGGCCUGUUCUUGACGCUGAGGCGCGAAAGCUAGGGGAGCAAACGGG
rnacentral:rRNA from 1 species